rnacentral:rRNA from 1 species
AACGCUGGCGGCAGGCCUACACAUGCAAGUCGAGCGCCGUAGCAAUACGGAGCGGCAGACGGGAGAGUAACACGUGGGAACGUACCCUUUGGUUCGGAACAACCCAGGGAAACUUGGGCUAAUACCGGAUAAGCCCUCACGGGGAAAGAUUCAUCGCCGAAGGAUCGGCCCGCGUCUGAUUAGCUAGUUGGUGGGGUAAUGGCCCACCAAGGCGACGAUCAGUAGCUGGUCUGAGAGGAUGAUCAGCCUCACUGGGACUGAGACACGGCCCAGACUCCUACGGGAGGCAGCAGUGGGGAAUAUUGGACAAUGGGCGCAAGCCUGAUCCAGCCAUGCCGCGUGGGUGAUGAAGGCCCUAGGGUUGUAAAGCCCUUUCGGCGGGGAAGAUAAUGACGGUACCCGCAGAAGAAGCCCCGGCUAACUUCGUGCCAGCAGCCGCGGUAAUACGAAGGGGGCUAGCGUUGCUCGGAAUCACUGGGCGUAAAGCGCACGUAGGCGGAUUGUUAAGUCAGGGGUGAAAUCCUGGAGCUCAACUCCAGAACUGCCUUUGAUACUGGCGAUCUUGAGUCCGGGAGAGGUGAGU